rnacentral:rRNA from 1 species
GACGUAGGGCGCGAGCGUUGUCCGGAUUUAUUGGGCGUAAAGAGCUCGUAGGCGGCUUGUUUGCGUCGACUGUGAAACCCGACGGCUUAACUGCGGGCUUGCAGUUGAUACGGGCAGGCUAGAGUUCGGUAGGGGAGACUGGAAUUCCUGGUGUAGCGGUGAAAUGCGCAGAUAUCAGGAGGAACACCGGUGGCGAAGGCGGGUCUCUGGGCCGAUACUGACGCUGAGGAGCGAAAGCGUGGGGAGCGAACAGG